AGAUGGCGACCGGCGCACGGGUGAGUAACACGUAUCCAACCUGCCGAUAACUCGGGGAUAGCCUUUCGAAAGAAAGAUUAAUACCCGAUGGUAUAAUCAGACCGCAUGGUUUGAUUAUUAAAGAAUUUCGGUUAUCGAUGGGAUGCGUUCCAUUAGGCAGUUGGUGAGGUAACGGCUCACCAAACCUUCGAUGGAUAGGGGUUCUGAGAGGAAGGUCCCCCACAUUGGAACUGAGACACGGUCCAA
rnacentral:rRNA from 1 species